CCUUGGUGACUCAGAUAGUAAAGAAUCUGCCUGCAAUGCAGGAGACCCAGGUUCAAUUCCUGGAUCGGGAA
rnacentral:tRNA from 1 species